rnacentral:rRNA from 1 species
UACGGGGGGGGCAAGCGUUGUUCGGAAUUACUGGGCGUAAAGGGUUUGUAGGUGGCCCGCUAAGUCACACGUGAAAUCCCUCAGCUUAACUGGGGAACUGCGUGUGAGACUGGCAGGCCUGAGUGCAGGAGAGGAACGCGGAAUUCCAGGUGUAGCGGUGAAAUGCGUAGAUAUCAGGAGGAACACCGGUGGCGAAGGCGGAUCUCUGGGCCUUACCUGACGCUGAGGCACGAAAGCGUGGGGAUCAAACAGG